AAGACCUGACUUUCUUAGUAUAAGCAUUAUACCGUGAAACUGCGAAUGGCUCAUUAAAUCAGUUAUCGUUUAUUUGAUAGUACCUUACUACUUGGAUAACCGUGGUAAUUCUAGAGCUAAUACAUGCUAAAAACCCCAACUUCGGGAGGGGUGUAUUUAUUAGAUAAAAAACCAAUGCCCUUCGGGGCUCCUUGGUGAUUCAUGAUAACUUCUCAGAUCGCAUAGCCUUGUGCUGGCGACGGUUCAUUCAAAUUUCUGCCCUAUCAACUUUCGAUGGUAAGGUAUUGGCUUACCAUGGUUUCAACGGGUAACGGGGAAUUAGGGUUCGAUUCCGGAGAGGGAGCCUGAGAAACGGCUACCACAUCCAAGGAAGGCAGCAGGCGCGCAAAUUACCCAAUUCCGAUACGGAGAGGUAGUGACAAUAAAUACUGAUACAGGGCUCUUUUGGGUCUUGUAAUUGGAAUGAGUACAAUUUAAACCUCUUAACGAGGAACAAUUGGAGGGCAAGUCUGGUGCCAGCAGCCGCGGUAAUUCCAGCUCCAAUAGCGUAUAUUAAAGUUGUUGCAGUUAAAAAGCUCGUAGUUGAACCUUUGGCCUGGCUGGCAGGUCCGCCUCACCGCGUGCACUUGUCCGGCCGGGCCUUUUCUUCUGGAGAACCGCAUGCCCUUCACUGGGUGUGUUGGGGACCAGGACUUUUACUUUGAAAAAAUUAGAGUGUUCAAAGCAGGCCUUUGCUCGAAUACGUUAGCAUGGAAUAAUAGAAUAGGACGUGCGGUCCUAUUUUGUUGGUUUCUAGGACCGCCGUAAUGAUUAAUAGGGACAGUCGGGGGCAUCAGUAUUCAAUUGUCAGAGGUGAAAUUCUUGGAUUUAUUGAAGACUAACUACUGCGAAAGCAUUUGCCAAGGAUGUUUUCAUUAAUCAGUGAACGAAAGUUAGGGGAUCGAAGACGAUCAGAUACCGUCGUAGUCUUAACCAUAAACUAUGCCGACUAGGGAUCGGGCGGUGUUUCUAUUGUGACCCGCUCGGCACCUUACGAGAAAUCAAAGUGUUUGGUUUCUGGGGGGAGUAUGGCCCAC
rnacentral:rRNA from 1 species